ensembl:lncRNA
UUUUUUUUUUUUUUUUUUUUGGUCACAGGUUCAGCAAAAACAACAAAAAAAAAAGUACAUUUGAUACAAAUGAUGAUUAUAUCUUUUUGGCCAUGCCUGCAGCAUGCAGAAGAUUCCAGGUCAAGGAUCGAACCUGCGCCACAGAAGCUAUCUGAGCCACUGCAGACGCCAGAUCUUUAACCUGCUGCACCACAAGGGAACUCCUCUUCUAAACUUUAUUAAGAAAUACAAGUUUAGUAGUCAAGAGCAGGAUACAGAAAUGAGAGGAUAAAGAACUUAACAGUAUAUACAAAAGGACCUAGGCAGAGAACUGUUCUAGUGUUGGUGGGAAGAUCCUACAUUUAAAAGCAUUUAAAUGUAUUUUAGCUUCCCAGAGCACUGAUCACUUGCUUACACAACAGCCAUUACCUCCCCCACGUAAGCAUGACCUCACUUUUUCAGACUCCUUCAUAACUAGGGGACCAUGAGAUCUAGUUCUGGCCAGUGAAACUGAGACAAAAUCUCCUAAGGCAGGAGAAUGUGCCUGGAAAAAUUCUUUCUCCUCCCUAAUAAAAGAGUCACAGGAAGAAAGCAGCCUUCCUCCCCUCCCCCAUCACUUGUAGGAUAUGGUGGCAAGAGCUGAAAGAUCUAUCCAGCAAUGUAAAAACUAAGCAUCUGGGAGUUCCCGUCGUGGCGCAGUGGUUAACGAAUCCGACUAGGAACCAUGAGGUUGAGGGUUCGGUCCCUACCCUUGCUCAUGGGGUUAAGGAUCUGGCCAUGAGCUGUGAUGUAGGUCGCAGACACGGCUCGGAUCCUGAGUUGCUGUGGCGUAGGCAGGCAGCUGUAGCUCUGAUUCGACCUCUAGCCUGGGAACCUCCAUGUGCUGCAGGUGUGGCCCUAAAAAGCAAAAAUAAGUAAAUAAAUAAAUAAAUACAAUGUAUGAAUUUUGGACUUCCCGUUUGGGCUCAGUGGUAACAAACCCCAAUGGUACCCCAAGGAUGUGACUUCAAUCCCUGGCCUCGCUCGUGGACUAAAGAUCCAGCACUGAUGUGAGCUGUGGUGUAGGUGGCAGACAUGGCUCAGAUCCCACGUUGCUAUGGCUGUGGCUGGCAGCUGUGAUUUAACCUCUAGUUGGGAACUUCCAUAUGCCACAGGUGUAGCCAUACAAAGAAAAAAAAAAAAAAAAAAUAGGGAAUUUGAUAAAACAGUAAAUUAAAAAAAAAAAAAAAUACCAUAAAAGUUCAAUCGCUGAAAGAGUCAGAAUGUCAUAGGAACAGAAAAAGUCCACAGAGGGGAGUUCCCGUCGUGGCACAGUGGUUAACGAAUCCGACUAGGAACCAUGAGGUUGAGGGUUCGGUCCCUGCCCUUGCUCAGUGGGUUAACGAUCUGGCGUUGCCAUGAGCUGUGGUGUAGGUUGCAGACGCAGCUCGGAUCCCGCGUUGCUGUGGCCCUGGCGUAGGCCGGUGGCUACAGCUCCGAUUCGACCCCUAGCCUGGGAACGUCCAUAUGCCGCAGGAGAGGCCCAAGAAAUAGCAAAAAGACAAAAAAAAAAAAGUCCACAGAGGAAAGUCAGAAAGAAUUUAGGAAAUGAUAAUGAUUGCAUUCUCAGAUGCUACUUGCAAACUGGCAAUUUGGAAAAGGCUAGAUCCACACGCUGUACUAACCAAAUGCUAAAAUAAAAUCUACAUAAAGGCAUUAAAAAAGAAAUUAUAAAUGGCCAAAAAAUAUAUAUACAUAAAUAGACACAUAAUACUGGAAGUUCCCUGGUGGCUUAGCGGUUAAGGACUCAUUAAGCAUUGUCACUGCUGUGGCUUGGGUUCAAUUCCUCGCCCAGGGACUUCUGCAUGCCAAGGGCAGGCACAACCAAAAAAAUAGUAAUUGAUACAUCAUACUGCCUUUAUAAAUUUUUUUUAGGCACCUGCAGCAUACGGAGGUUCCCAGGCUAGGAGUUGAAUCAAAGCUGCAGCUACCUGACCUACACCACAGCCACAGCACACCAGAUCCAAGCCGCCUCUGCAACCUACACCACGGCUCACGGCAACAAUGGAUCCUUAACCCACUGAGUGAGGCUAGGGAUCAAACCCUCAACCUCAUGGAUACCUGUAAGGUUUGUUACUGAUGAGCCACAAUGGUAACUCCACUGCCUUUAUAAUUUUCAGUACAGAAAGGCUUUAAGGACAACCAACCAUAAAGGCAAAAUAAAGAUUAACAGAUGUAACAAAAUUAAAAAUCUUAAACCUCUAAAAAUAAAACCAUCAAAGAAACUAAAAAGCAACCUGCAAACUAGAAAAAGGAAUUUAGAACAUGUGACAAAAUAAUCUAAAUAUAUGAAGAAUUCUUACAAAACAGUGGACACACAGGUAAAAGAUAUUAGAAGGCAAUUCAGAAAACAUGAGUUAUCAACAGCCAAUAAACUCACUUUCUUAAAAAAAAAAAAAAAAGUCCUAGACACUUAACUGCUGGGUCAGAGGAAAUACAUACUUUUUUUUGGCCACACCCAUGGCAUGAAGAAGUUCCCAGGCCAGGGAUCAAACCUGUGCCACAGCAGUGACAACACCAGAUCUUUAACCAGCUGCACCACCAGGAAACUCUUAUACAGGUUUUUAGGACUGACAGUGCCCAGCCUUUCCUCUGAUCUUCACAUUGCUGGCUCCUUUUCAUCCUUCAAGUCAAAUGCUUCCCCGUCAACAAAAUUUUUCCUUCAACACCCAUCCAAACUACCCUGUACCUCCUCUGACCUUUCCUUCCUUCCUAAUUCCAAAGUUCUGAAUUUGUAUUAUGGUAACUUGUUUGCUGCUUCUGGUGAGCUUUGCCCCUAAGAUAUAAGCUUGUCUAUCUCUCAUCCCCACUGGCAUCCCUGGAACUCCGAGGAUGGCAGGUAUUCGUUUACUGAAUAAACGCAUCAUGCAUUAGCGAGGGAACAUCCUGGAUCACUGGAAUCAGCCAUACUGCAUCUAAAUAAACAGGGCAUGGAAGGAGAUAAUCAAGGAGUAUCUUACGAAUUUUAGAGCUGAAGUAGCUUCUAGAUGUUUUUGAAAGCCAAAUAUAUGCAAACUGAUCAAAAUCAAGAGAUUUUUUCUGACUUCCAUUCUUACAUCCAAAUCACAUUCACCUACCCCACUACAAAUACUAAAAUACAAGUCUCAAAUUCUGAAGUAAUAUCGCAUGCAUAAUUCACUAUGUGUUGCUAGAGUUAUUAGAUAAUUUUAACACAGAAGUUCUGUGUUCAAAAUGCCACUUCCCCAUUUCUAUAUAAAAAAGGGAAGAGAGUAAACAAUCACUGAACGAUUCUAUUUUGUACAUCCCUAAUGAAGUGGAUUAAGGAGCUUAAGAAAAGGGGGAUGUGUAACUUUUAUGUAUCUCAUGACUGUUCAGUACUCAACACUGUUCUAACUGACCUACAAAUGAAGUACAUUAUCUAAAGAGAUUUUAAGAAAUCAAAAAUGAGACAAAAUAUUUAAAAACCAAGCUGUUGAUGACUGGUUCUCAUCAAGAAAAUACACUAAGCAUUAAACAUCAAUUCUUUCACUAAAUACUGAGAGCCUACUAUGUGUCCAGAAGUAUAAUUAGGUGUACCUACAGACAGCUACAGAUGGUUAUAUGUCCCACAUAAUUUUUAAAAGUUAAAAGUAAUCAUUUAUUCCUGGGAGUUCCCAUCGUGACUCAGCAAUAACGAACCCAACGAGGAUCCAUGAGCAUGAGGGUCUGAACCUCACUCAGUGAGUUUAAGGACUCAGUGUUGCCAUGAGCUGUGGUGUGAGAAUACUGCUCUCACCUUAAACAUGAAGACAAGGCUGGAUUAGCUUAAAAAUAAUUUUUUAUCCCCGUCACAGAGCUGAGCAAACAAUUCUAAGUAACUACAUCCCAGAAACUGAUGAGGACUGUGAACAGAAAAAAAAAAGAUUCACAGCUGCUUUCAUCUCUAGCAGAGAGAGAAAGAACACAGAUGAGAAUAAGAAAAAAAAAAAAAAAUCUGCCAAACAUUUAAACAGCCAACCGUGGGCUGGCAUGACCAAUUAGAAUGCUAAGAAGCCUCUGUCAGAGUGAGUCAGACCCACCCCAAUUCCUUUCCAAAGGCCUUCACCAACCGCACAGGGCCAGAAACGGGCCGCAGAGCAGCUGGGGGGAGAAGCCUCGCAAAGCUAGGGAUAGGAGAAUCAGGUAGGAAGCCAAGGGUAGGACUGCACAGCAAAGAGAACUCUUUAGCAAUCAAAAAGCAGGCAGCUGGACAGAAAGGAGAACAAGAUCCUACCAAAUUUGGAAAGGUGGCAACUCGGCUAUAAAGUCUAGCCAUCUCAAGGACCUCACUAGCGCCCAAAUUCCAAACUCUGCUGGAAGGGAAAGUCUUGAUCCCGUCCUCAAAACACAUCAAGUCAGUUAUGAAGUGAACACAGCUACAGCUGCAACAAAGGCCAGAGAUAAUCAAAUACAAUUAGACUGACCCAGCACCACAGGCUAACAGCCCUGAGAGGAAGAAGCGCACGUCUCUCAUGGAAACUAACGAUACUACUUCAGCCUCUUUUAACACAAAAAGGCCAAAUAUACUUCAAAAGAUAAUGAGAGACACAAGACGUGUCCCAGGGUCUAGACAUGGAGUGGCCAAUAGAAACAGAACCAGCGAUGGCCCAGAUGCUGGAAAAUGCUGUCAUUAUUUCUUCGAACUACUCUGC